UGGCUCAGUUGGUAGAGCAUGGCACUUGCAAUGUUAGGGUGUGGGUUUGAUUCCCAC
rnacentral:tRNA from 1 species